GUUGGGGCAAACAUGAGGACAACAAUACAUAAGUUUUCUUAUUCCUUCUUCUUCGCACAUUCUAGAACUGUUCCUCUUCCAUACCUCCACUCUCUCUCUCUCUCUCACACAUAAUUUUUGCCCCUUAGCUCCCUCCAGCUUCUUACCUUUUGUUUCUUGUUUUCUUUUCGAAAUUCCAAUUUGCUUUAGUGUUUUUGAAUUUUUUAUUUUCGUCUUCCUCUUCGAAAUCCAUAGACGAUAUUUUUUCACGUCGUGGCAGACUCUACAGAAAUAUCUCAUGUUUAUUGUAGAAGCACCCGGGCCUUGGCUCUUUUCUUAAUUGAUUCUGCGAUGCAUGUUCUCUCUUUAAUAUUUGGUGUCAAAUUUGUUGGUUCUGUCCAAAGUGCCUCAAAGGAUAUUCUCUGACCCCAUGGUUAAAAAAAGUCCCAAAUUUAUGACAGCUAUUGUGCAGUUCUUGAGCUUUUGGUACAUUUAGUUAAUUGAUUUUGCAUAUGCAUGUAUUUAUUGACUAUUUCUUUUCGAUUCCGUAGUAGUCAGUCAUAUUAGGAAGAACUCAAUGAUAUAGAGAAAGACUCUGUGAACAAAAUUUUAAAAGUGCAAUCUUAAAUUGAAAAUUAAGAACUAUUGGAAAUUUUGGGUGUUCUGCCCAGUUAUCAACCCUUCAUUUUCUUGUGCAAAUUUGGCGCCCAAGUAUAUAUUUUGUGUGCUGUAAGGAUUACAAUUGAUAAAAGAAGGUUUAAGCUAAAGCAAUAUCUUAUGAUACAUUAAUACAGAUUCACAAUUUUUAGUAUAUCUCAGAGACCAACAGAAGUUAGAAGAACGAGCUGGAAAUGUUGAUGUAAGAUCAAGAGACAUUCGGAAGCUCUCAUUGCAGUCGUGGUACAACUAUUACAGGAGUUUCCUGCGGGAAAACUGAAACUAUAGAUUGAUGCAAUCAUGUCACUUUCUAUGCUCACAGUGACUCCUGAGGAGCUAGCAGCUGCAGCCAACUACUUGAAGGAUACUCUUGGCAAAGAAGGGGUUCAAGAACUUAUCAGCAACCUUUCCAAAGGUACAUGUCAGUUUUUAAUUUUGUUCGAAAUUAGAAAGAUCCAUGCUUUAACUGUUGAUUUAUGGUUCUUAUUGGAACUCCUGUGGAAGAUCUUCACAAACAAAUUGACAUUGCUUAGAAUUUGGCUUAAAUAACUAAAGCUUUUUGCAGUUUAAAAGCCUUUUUUGUUGAGUCACUGUUUGUUUGAUUGCAAUUAAUAGAUAUCACAUUUGAUGGUCUUUCUCUGUAGCUUUUAGUAAAGACAUUUUAUGCGAGUUUAUUAGAAGAGUUAUACCAUUAAAGAAGUCACAUACUAAGCAUAGUCCUUGGAUUAAGAGUCUCAAACCUCAAUUGUCAUCAAAGAGGACAGGUUAACUAAAUAAUUACCCUGUGUGUAUUCAAAUCUAUGACAUCAUUGGUAGUAAAUAAUAGACGUCGGAAAAGUUAGCAAUAACAUUGUAUGGACACUAAAGAUUCCUUAUAUAACUACCUUUUUGUGGUUCCUGAUUCCUGAUAAUGACCCUUAUUUUUUUCCCAGUUGUUUUUAAUUUAAUUCAUUUUUCCAGAACAGUCAGAGAACUGUCACCUCUUACUGUGUCUGUUUUUUCCUUUUCUUUUAACAUUUUCCCAUUCCCUAUAAUUUCUUGAAUUGGAUGUUUAGUUCACAGAGGAUUUUCUUCUUUGGCUUGAUACUGAAGUUGUUGUACUUUGUGAAUGAAAUAAACACGUCUUUAUAAGCAGCAACUCUUGCUAGGACCUAUAAUGGAGAUUUAUGUAUUUGCAGAAGUAGAUACUGCUAAUGUUCAUCCUUCAAAAUGUAAAUGCUUUAGCAAAAAAGUAAUUUCAUAUGAGACCCGCACAAUUUAAGAUUAGGAUCAAGGGUUUACAAAUGAUAAACUAUGUGCUAACGUUGUUUCUAUUUUCCAGGAUGAGCAUACAGAUUAUUACGAUGUGUAAAAAUAAGAAUGGAGAUGUAGAGAUGGGCGUAUAGAUUAUUACGAAUGUGUAUAAAUGAGAAUGGAGAUGCAGAAUUAGCAACUAGAGCUAUGACAGAUAGGGAUCUAAUUAAAUUAGGAAUGACCAAAACUACAUUGCUAUUCAAAUUUUUGGGUUCAGCAAGGUAUUUAAACAACUUUAUUUACAAUGUCUCCCUUCACCGUUGCUUUUCUAUCUAAUGUAACCAUUGAUUACUCUUUUAGGCAGUAUGGAGUGUGACAAAUCCUAUAAUGAUUUAUUUGGCAAUAUUCUUUUGCAUAGACUAUCAGGAAUCUGUGAGUUGAUUAAUCAUGGGUAAAGAAUUUUGGUGAUAUGACUUGUUGUAGAUGAGAAAAAAUUGUUGAAUAUUGUUUGGCUCAUACAUGGCAUAAAUCUGCUUUAACCUGAGAACAAUACAAUACAUUUAUGAUAAAGGGUGAGAUAGAUGAGAUCCAUUCUUCAUCGUCAAAGGUGUUGGUCCUUUAUUGUCUAUUUGUUGCCGUUAUCUUUUUCUCAUGAGCUUCAUAAUCUGGUUUCUUCUACGAGUAGUUUGUCCAUCACAUUUUGUUCUGUGUUUCGAGUUAAGAUGUAAUAAUUUUUUUUUAAUUUUUAGUAGGCCAUAAGAGGUUAAGCCAGAUCUACUCAUAUGAAUCCACAUGCAAGAAAAUAAAUUCUUUUAUUCAAUGUAUACACAUAAAGAAUGAAACUAGACAAAUAAAAAGGUAAAAGUAAGAUGAUUUACCGUUCUUAUUUGUAAUAGGCAUUUCUGUUAGAGCUAUGUGUCUUUACAUACAUACAUACACAUGCAUAUACAUACAUACUAAAGAAAAAAUGGACUAUUUUUUAUAAGUUGGAAGAAUGGUAGAUAAAGGAAGAAUCAUUCUUAUACCUAUAUACUGUGAUUAUUUGCAUCAUCCAAAAUUCUCCUACUAUAACAGAAUUAUUUGUGAACACUAUUUCACAGCAACUCAAAUUACUUGCUAUCAAACUCUAACCCCAAUGUACCACAAUAUUUUCGUCAUUAUGCUAAUCGAAUAAAUGUAUCGACCAGAACUAUGAUUCACCACCCAAAAGAAGCUGAAAGUAAAGCAUGAUAUUUGUACCUUUUUACUUCCCUGUAUAUGGAGCUUGAUAUCUUGCACAAUAGAAAAGAUUAUGGUUGCAAGAUUAGAUACUCCUAGGAGUUAUGUGUGCCUCUGCUAAAUUCUUCACCAUCUAACUGUAAAUAAGUAAAAGUUCAUAGGCAUGAGAGAUAUUCUUCUCAUGAUUUAAAUUAAAGCACCAAAAAAUAAUUCAUCAGUUUGAAAUGAAUUUAUUUUUGAAAUUGUAGCUUUCCUAGAGAGCAAAGAAAUAACACACCCUUAUUGGAGUAGAUAGAAACACAAAAAGCUCUAUCUAAUAUUGGAUUCUCGCGUGCACAGGCCACGACAUGCUCUCGGGCCCGUGCGUAGCACGGGAGCCUACAUCUAGUUUUAACUAUAUAAUAAGUGGAGGUUCUGAGGUACGAAGAAGGGCAUUUUCGUAAUUUGAGGAAUUCUUGUUGCUUUCAUUUCUAAACACGUGUUAUAUAAGUGCCACUUUCUUUUUGCCCUGUUCCUAAUCUACUCUUCUGUGUCUCACUCAGCUUCUUUGUUUCUUGGCUCUCUCAGUAUCAAUAUUUCCUUCUCCAUUUUUCUUGUAAUUCAUGUUUGAGUUUUUUCUUCGCUCCAUCACAUUCUUUCAUACUCUUUAGUUUAUUCUGCUCCUCUGCAUUCUACCUGUUGCCGGUGAGUUUCGAUUUUAUUUUUUGAUUUUGAGAUUUUUUUAGUUGAUUUUCUAAUUGAUUAAUUUGAUAUUCUUUCAGAUUUGGUCUUUUUCUCUGGUAUUUAGUUUAUAGUCAUUUUGCAUGCACCGAUUUUUCACUUUAUUGACAAUGCCAUCUCCAUGGUGAGCUUCUUUUACAACUGAAAAUAUAUUUCCGCAAUGGGCGAAAGCCUGACGGAGCAAUGCCGCGUGGAGGUAGAAGGCCCACGGGUCGUGAACUUCUUUUAUCGGAGAAGAAGCAAUGACGGUAUCUGGGGAAUAAGCAUCGGCUAACUCUGUGCCAGCAGCCGCGGUAAUACAGAGGAUGCAAGCGUUAUCCGGAAUGAUUGGGAGUCUAUUCCCCAUGGUUUUCCCCUUUCAAGGGUCUUUUGAUUAAAUUUUUAUUUUUUUAUGUUGGAUCUUUAUUCAAAUUUAGUGUUUCUUCCCUUUGUCCUUGACGUGGUGUUUUCUCCAAAAAAUGUUGAUUCUCAUGUGGAUGCACUUACAUUUACUAUAAGGUGAAAGCGAAACAAUUGCAAAAUAUAGAUACAAGGAAGUAGCAGGCGAAGCUUCAUAUUUUAAAAAUCUGCUCUACCGGAGAAAUUGUCAUACAGUGUAGUGCAGGAGGCAAAGUAACUACAUCACACGCAUGUAAAACUGUUGUAGUAUAUUCUCGGAUAUAGUGGUUUCGAAAUAAAAGACAUGUGCCGCUCGUUUCACAGCAUGCCCUGAAGAGCAGAUAAUAAGCUGUAACCAAAUUGAUAGUGAAGAUACUGAUAAUGAAAAUCAAGACGAAUCAGUUGUUGCAAUGAUUGAAGAGCCAAACUCAGAUCUACUAUCAAGCGGUCAUUGAGAAUAGGUGAAACUGAAGGGUACGUAUCUGAAAAAUAAGGAGUAACAACUAUUAUUGCUGGCACAGAGCUACCAGUGACACCAGAAGGGGGUAAUUAUCUUUCAGUUCCAGGUACUUAUCAAUCAGUUAAGGACUCCUCCUUAGACAACAUCCUCCACAUUCAAUUCAGCAACAAUGAUAAAUCAAGUGCCUGCAGAUGUAUGUCAUCUGCAUAAUAAGUUUUUCUUUAGACUUUGCAAAGAUGCCAAUGUCAGAUUUGUAACUGUUAUAUCAGUGUCUCUCAGCC